UCCCUGGACACACAGCCUGAGCAGCUGGCCCUGAGGCCCAAGGAGUUUUUCCGAGCCUAUGGCAUCGAGGUGCUCACCGAGGCUCAGGUGGUCACAUUGGACGUGAGAAAUAAGAAGGUCGUGUUCAAGGAUGGCUUCAAGCUGGAGUACAGCAAGCUGCUGCUGGCACCAGGGAGCAGCCCCAAGACUCUGAGCUGCAAAGGCAAAGAAGUGGAGAAUGUGUUCACCAUCCGGACGCCAGAGGAUGCCAAUCGCGUGGUGAGGCUGGCCCGAGGCCGCAAUGUGGUCGUCGUGGGAGCCGGCUUCCUGGGGAUGGAGGUGGCUGCUUACCUGACGGAGAAGGCCCACUCUGUGUCUGUGGUGGAGCUGGAGGAGACGCCCUUCAGGAGGUUCCUGGGGGAGCGCGUGGGUCGUGCCCUCAUGAAGAUGUUUGAGAACAACCGGGUGAAGUUCUACAUGCAGACGGAGGUGUCUGAGCUGCGGGGCCAGGAGGGAAAGCUGAAGGAGGUUGUGCUGAAGAGCAGCAAGGUCGUGCGGGCUGACGUCUGCGUGGUGGGCAUUGAUGAUGCAGACCAAUGUCCCAGGCGUAUUUGCAGCUGGCGACGCUGUCACCUUCCCCCUUGCCUGGAGGAACAACCGGAAAGUGAACAUUCCACAUUGGCAGAUGGCUCAUGCUCAGGGGCGCGUGGCAGCCCAGAACAUGUUGGCGCAGGAGGCGGAGAUGACCACUGUGCCCUACCUCUGGACCGCCAUGUUUGGCAAGAGCCUGCGCUACGCGGGCUACGGAGAAGGCUUCGACGACGUCAUCAUCCAGGGGGAUCUGGAGGAGCUGAAGUUUGUGGCUUUUUACACUAAAGGCGACGAGGUAAUCGCCGUGGCCAGCAUGAACUACGAUCCCAUUGUGUCCAAGGUCGCUGAGGUGCUGGCCUCAGGCCGUGCCAUCCGGAAGCGGGAGGUGGAGACUGGCGACAUGUCCUGGCUUACGGGGAAAGGAUCCUGAGAUCACAUGCAGUAGACUUGGGCAGGCAAAGGGGGCACCAAGGGCAUAGGCCAAGCCUUGGGGGCAGGUGCCAAUCUCCAGUCCCAGGAUCCCCCAGGGCAGGACCUGAGCCCUCCCAGUGCUUGCCUUCAGCCACCUGGCUCCCCUCUUGGGAGGCCUCUGCUGGAUCCAGAAGAUGCUCAACCCUCAAGGCCUCUGCUGCCACUGACAGCUGGCACUGGAGGCAGGACAAGCCCUGCCUCUUCUCCCUCUAUUGGGACUGGUCCCCUGAAGAACCCUGCAACAUGUUAGACAUUACCGUAAAAUUAAAACGCACAAAUUUGCA
rnacentral:sRNA from 1 species